UGCAGUCGAACGGUAACAUAGACUGCUUGCAGUCUGAUGACGAGUGGCGCACGGGUGCGUAACGCGUAUGCAACUUACCCCAAACUGGAGAAUAGCCUUUAGAAAUGAAGAAUAAUACUCCAUAGUAUUUCACCCCGGCAUCGGGGAGAUCUUAAAGCUCCGGCGGUUUGGGAUGGGCAUGCGUUCUAUUAGUUAGUUGGUGAGGUAACGGCUCACCAAGACCACGAUAGAUAGGGGGCCUGAGAGGGUUAUCCCCCACACUGGUACUGAGACACGGACCAGACUCCUACGGGAGGCAGCAGUGAGGAAUAUUGGUCAAUGGACGAAAGUCUGAACCAGCCAUGCCGCGUGCAGGAUGAAUGCCCUACGGGUUGUAAACUGCUUUUAUAUAGGAAGAAACCCCUCUACGUGUAGAGGGCUGACGGUACUAUAAGAAUAAGGACCGGCUAACUCCGUGCCAGCAGCCGCGGUAAUACGGAGGGUCCAAGCGUUAUCCGGAUUUAUUGGGUUUAAAGGGUCCGUAGGCGGGAGAAUAAGUCAGUGGUGAAAGCCUGCAGCUUAACUGCAGAACUGCCAUUGAAACUGUUUUUCUUGAAUGUAGAUGANGUGGGCGGAAUAUAUCAUGUAGCGGUGAAAUGCAUAGAUAUGAUAUAGAACACCGAUNGCGAAGGCAGCUCACUAAACUAUUAUUGACGCUG
rnacentral:rRNA from 1 species